rnacentral:pre_miRNA from 1 species
UGGCUAUAAAAUAACUUAUUCUGUAGCCACUUUGAGUUAGUAUAAUUACUAUGUUAAUUUACAAGAUUAUAGUAACUUCUUACUAAGUGUAUUACUAUAAUAUUAAUACCAUAAUAUCUCCAUGUGUUAUAGUAACCCAACUAUCGUAAAUAUGUAUAGAUAUUAUUGUAAAUUAGUAUAUAAAAUUAUUGUAAAUAGAGGUGGCUAUAGAAUAACUUAUUUUGUAGCUA